rnacentral:snoRNA from 1 species
GCAUCUGAAUCUUUCCCAUUCCUUGUGAUACAGUACUGGACUGGGGAUACAUGAUGCAACAGGAAAGCAGAGGAAAUCCAGACAAGCUCCCUUUCACCAGUGGGACUUGUCUCUACACCUUUGCAACAUUU